rnacentral:rRNA from 1 species
AUUGAACGCUGGCGGUAUGCUUAACACAUGCAAGUCGAACGAUGAGAAAGAGCUUGCUCUUUCGAUUAGUGGCGGACGGGUGCGUAACGCGUAGGAAUCUACCUAUUAGUGGGGGACAACUUAGGGAAACUUAAGCUAAUACCGCAUACGCCCUACGGGGGAAAGAAGGGGAUCGCAAGACCUUUUGCUAAUAGAUGAGCCUGCGUAGGAUUAGCUAGUUGGUGGGGUAAAAGCUCACCAAGGCGACGAUCCUUAACUGGUUUGAGAGAAUGAUCAGUCACACUGGAACUAAGACACGGUACAGACUCCUACGGGAGGCAGCAGUGGGGAAUAUUGGACAAUGGGCGAAAGCCUGAUCCAGCAAUACCGCGUGUGUGAAGAAGGCCUUAGGGUUGUAAAGCACUUUCAAUUGGAAGGAAAACCUCGAAGCUAAUACCUUCGAGUUUGACAUUACCUUUAGAAGAAGCACCGGCUAACUCCGUGCCAGCCGCCGCAGUAACAC